CCCAUACUUGGGGUUACGGAUCGAUUGAUAGUGAAGUCGGCGGGACUCUCCCAGAUCGCCCGACCGACGACGAUUGCGCAUCAGAAGCACCGAUGGGGCUCCCUGCGGCCGGAGGUUCUACUCAAAGCAAGCUGUCGCGGGCGGGGCGGGGCGAGGCGAGGCGCACGGUGGCUGUCAAAUUUCUGGAGAAAAAAAAAGCGCAGGAACUCGAUGGAUGAAGAAGAUUGUAGGGUUUACGGAGAGGAACAAGCAUUUUGGGGACCGACUUGGAGUCUCUUCAGAUUGGAUUAAAAAACCGUUGCAGCGACCGCUUCAUCGACUGGCCCGGGUUAAGCAUCUUCGGCAAGGUUUCGGAAGACGGAGUGGGAGGCAGAGUCGGAACCGUAGACUCCGCCAUGGCUUCCUGCUGCCGAUCAUGUUGGCUAAUCAGGUUUUGCUUUCCUAUUAUUUCUUCCAUCUUCUCGGCCAUGGAUAUAAUUGCUCUCGCUUGCAUCUCUGUGGCGUCACAUACAAAAAUCCUGCCUUUAUAUAAGAUCGUCAUUUGCUUCUUCUGUUCUUGCUGCUGGUGAGCUGGUGAGAAUCUCAACCAUGAUUCCAUCCUGCAUCAUUAGUUUCCAGUCAUUAUAUAUAUAUUUAUAUAUUCAAAAUGAAAUAAAACAGAGGAACCUGAGAAAACUUUUCUUUACCUGUGGAGUCUCAUAGAGUUGGACGUCCAGUUGCUGCCAUCGCCGGCGGCGGCCUGACCGCCAACGGAGAGCCGGAGCUCAGGGUCACACCUCUUUUCCAUCUUCUCUUCUUGGGUUGAAGGGAGAAGAGAAGGCGACGAAUAAAUACGCGGAUUCGCGAGAAAUAUUUUGCGGCACGUGGAGAAUGCGGUGUUUACUUGGUCACGAAAGCGACGUCGUCUUGGGCACGCGAUCCUGUUGGUUUUUAGCAAUUGUUCUUUAAUCGGAUAUAUAUUUUUCCACGUGCAGGAAUUGAAAUCCUGGGGCGGGGAGGUGGAUCCGUACACGAUUUGAGUUGCUCCCAAUGUUCGGGGUUGCCUCGUGCUUUGUUGCUUUUUUUGAGGCUGGUGGUGGGCGUCUGGAGACAACCAACCCAACGUUUCUCUUCAAAACAUUCAAACAUGCUUAAUUUGGAGCACGACGGAUUUCAGUUCCAAUGGGCUCAACCAACAGGGCAAGCAUCAACCUCUUCAAAGUGUUAUUUAAAUUGCUUACAUGAAAGUCUCCAUUAGAUGGACAGAUGGUCAUUGGAUGGGAUAUUAUCAUGAAGAGAUCCGGAUGUCAAUUCCUUAAUGCAAAAUAUUUGUCAGGUUCUUAGUUUUCCUUAUAGGAUAGUCACUAUUUAAAAAUAAAAUUAUUCUUAAUUUAUCUCUAUAAA